GCGCACGUGGCGGAAUUGGUAGACGCGCUAGCUUGAGGGGCAAGUGGGAAUUUUUCCCGUGGAAGUUCGAGUCUUCUCGUGCGCAC
rnacentral:tRNA from 1 species